GAUUUUUAUUUCUCUCUUCAACGACUGUCAUGAGUUCUGAGCUGCUUUUCGGCCAUCUCAUACAGCUGUUGAGUUUCUUUUUGUGACAGUAGCCCAAUAGCUGCUUUUUGGCUAUUUUAGGGAGCUGCCACCUUCUUCUUAUCAACCCGGUCUCAUGUUCUGAGCUGCUUUUUGGACGUCCUGAGCCGUGGUUGAGUUAUUUCAGUAAUGUCCCAGAUCUGAGUUGUAAAGACCGUUCUGGUGGCUACUGAUUUAUUUGCCAAUUUCUUGCAAAGGUUCGGAUGAUCAUUUUCCCGCGGUCAGAACUUGAGGGGUGUUGAACCUGCCAUUUAAUGGGGUACCCUAUCAGAAAAAUGAGGAUAAGCUUGGAUUGCGAAAAUUGCACCGACAGUACCUAUGGUGAUACGAAGAAGCAAUAUGACCCAGCUCUUUCAGCCAAGGAUCCAGACCAAGAAAACAAUAAUGAAGGAGCAAGACUAGUGAUGCAGGCGACAAUCAAAUAUUUGGUACGGAUCCGAUACUCAAGACAGUGGAGCUAGCCAAAAUAAUUCAGAAAUUCUCGUGAUAAGUCAGAAUCUGUCAGGAAAACGGUUAUGCCUCCACUCAUUGUUUGGAAUCCGAAGGACCUGUAUUUAGUGGACAAACCCAAUGCAAGGAGUUAGAGCUUGGGUGUCCACUAGAAAAAUCUGAUCACCACUUCAUGAAAGAUUGUCAGUGUCGGCUGACACACCCAGCGGAAAUCACUCUUGGAUUUGUGAGACCAACAUAUAUUUCAGUCGUGAGAAUCAAUCACUGUCAGCUAAGUCAGCAGAUCUAAAAAGAAAUUGGAGCAUGUAUAAGCAUGAACAAGCAAGGUAAGAUCUGUCAGAAUAUGGAUAUAUUAAAGCAAACCACCCCACGGGCAGUCAGAUAAAAACUUAGUGGGAACAAAAAUAAGAAAAA